GAUGAACGCUGGCGGCGUGCCUAAUACAUGCAAGUCGAGCGAACAGAUAAGGAGCUUGCUCCUUUGACGUUAGCGGCGGACGGGUGAGUAACACGUGGGUAACCUACCUAUAAGACUGGGAUAACUUCGGGAAACCGGAGCUAAUACCGGAUAACAUUUGGAACCGCAUGGUUCUAAAGUGAAAGAUGGUUUUGCUAUCACUUAUAGAUGGACCCGCGCCGUAUUAGCUAGUUGGUAAGGUAACGGCUUACCAAGGCGACGAUACGUAGCCGACCUGAGAGGGUGAUCGGCCACACUGGAACUGAGACACGGUCCAGACUCCUACGGGAGGCAGCAGUAGGGAAUCUUCCGCUAUGGGCGAAAGCCUGACGGAGCAACGCCGCGUGAGUGAUGAAGGGUUUCGGCUCGUAAAACUCUGUUAUUAGGGAAGAACAAACGUGUAAGUAACUGUGCACGUCUUGACGGUACCUAAUCAGAAAGCCACGGCUAACUACGUG
rnacentral:rRNA from 1 species